GCCUCGUUGUCGCAGUAGGCAGCGCGUCAGUCUAAUAAUCUGAAGGUUGUGAGUUCGAGCCUCACAGGGGGCA
rfam:Danio rerio chromosome 4, GRCz11 reference primary assembly.